GAUCAUUAAAUUUCGCGUGUGCAGUAAGCAGUAAAUAUGUCUAUCGGCAAGCUACACGAAUUUAACGUCAGCAAUGGCGCGUGGUCAUCGUACAUGGAUCGAGUGGAAAUGUACUACAAGGUCAACAAAGUGCAAGACGAAAUGAAAGUGCCAGUAUUGAUUGCAGCGAUGGGAGAUGAGGCGUAUGAGCUUCUGGAGAACUUGGCCAGUCCUACAAAGCCAUCGGACCUAACCUUAGCUAAAAUAAAGGCAUUAAUGUCAAAUCAUUUGCAGCCAACACCGUCGUCGCUAGCGGAAAGAUACCGGUUUCGACAAAGGCGGCAAAAUGGCGGUGAAAAUGUAUCUACGUAUGUGGCGGAGUUGAAAAAGCUGUCCAAGCAUUGUAAAUUUGCCUCAGAAUUAAAUGGAAAUCUAAGGGAUCAAUUCAUAUGUGGCUUAAGUAGCGAUUUAAUUAGGCAACGGCUUUUUGCGGAGGACGACGACAUAACCUUCGCAUCUGCAGUCAAACUUGCAACAUCAUUGGAGGCAGCAGAGAGGGACGCAGCGUUAGUGGAGCAGUCAAAGGUAACGGGUUCGAGCGGGACGGGAGAUGCGCAGGCGGUUAUGUUUGCGAGUCGGGCGAGAUCGAGUACAUUCAGCGGAGGACAAUCGCGGGCGCCUGUAGUUACGCAACAGCGGCGAAACGCAAAUUUUAAUGGCCGCCAAGAGAGGCACUGCGAGGCCUGUGGCGCGCGCAGUCAUAAUUACGCGGAUUGCAAGUUCCAGGACUAUGUGUGCAGCAAAUGUCAGCGCACAGGCCACUUGCGGCGGGUGUGUCCGAACUGGGGCGCGGCACCGGGAACCGCGGGCCGUGUCGGAGCGCGGGCGCCGGCCCGGCGCGGAGGGGCAGCGGCGGCGGCGCCGGCGCGGAGUGCCAUGCAUUUUGGGGUGGCCGAUCACGAACCGAGUGAGGAUUACGGCGGAGACAUCGAGGAAGAAUUACAUCAUCUAUGUUUAAAUAACUACCCGGCGGUGAGUUUACCGAUAUGUAUAGACAAUACAGUUAUUAAUAUGGAAGUAGAUACGGGUACGGCGAUUUCGUGUAUCAGUAAGGCCACAUAUGACCGAUAUUUUUCCCAUAUAAAUAUAGAAACUGAUAAAACUGUGUUCAAUUACUACACUGGGCCCCCAAUUAGGCCUUUAGGUGUCAUUAGACCCAUAGUGACCUACAAUGAGUGCAGUAAACAAUUGGAGUUGUUUAUUAUUGAGGGGGGCUCGACUUCUUUGUUGGGCAGGCGGUGGUUGGUCGAACUAAAUAUUAAAAUACCUAAGUUAAGAUGUAAUUACGUAAUAGAUGAGACUAGCGGACAAGGUAAACAAGACAUUGUGAAUUUGCUCGGCAGAUAUGAGGCGUUGUUCAGCGACGGACUGGGGCGGUACAAGGGCGGCAAGGCGACCUUGAGGGUGCGGGAGGGCGCAGCACCGGUGUUCCAUCGCGCACGCCCGAUGCCGUACGCGCUGCGCGAGCGAGUGGACACCGAACUGGACGCCAUGCUGAGCGCCGGCGUCAUCGAGCCCGUCGACUGCUCGGACUGGGCAUCCCCACUGGUACCUAUUAAUAAGCCGGAUGGCUCCCUUAGAAUUUGUGCAGACUAUAAAGCUACUUUAAACCCGUAUUUGUUGGUCGACCGGUAUCCUCUCCCUAAAAUAGAAGAUGUUCUGGUAAAUUUAAAUGGCAAUAUGUACUAUAGUAAAAUUGAUCUUUCACAAGCGUACAACCAAAUUGAAUUGGACGAGUCUAAACGUUAUACGGUUAUAAACACCCACCGAGGGUUGUUUCAGUAUAAUAGACUGGUGUACGGCCUAUCAUCUAGUGUAGGGAUAUUUCAGCGUAUUAUGAUAAAUUUAUUGGGUAACAUACCUAAUGUACAAAUAUUUUUAGACGAUGUUAUUAUAGGGGGGCAAACUAAAACGGAACAUCUACAGGCUUUAGAAGCGGUUUUUCAACGUCUACUUACUAACGGAUUGAAGUUAAGGAAAAAUAAAUGCGUUUUUUUGGCUAAGGAAGUGAUAUACUUAGGGUAUGUAGUUUCCAGGGAGGGCAUCAAACCAGAUACAACAAAGAUAAAGGCGAUUCUGCAAAUGUCACAACCUCGUAACGUAUCCGAGUUAAGGUCGUUUUUAGGGACAGUAAAUUUUUUCGGUAGGUUUAUUAAAAAUCUCAGUUUAAUAUUGUCGCCUCUUUAUAAACUAUUAAAAAAGGAGGCGGAGUGGCACUGGAGCAAGGAGUGCGGGGAAUCUUUCGCGCAAGUCAAACAAUUGUUGGCGGGCGCAAAAGUAUUAAGGCAUUAUGAUCCAAGUAAACGUUUGAUAGCAACUUGUGACGCGUCACCACGGGGGGUGGCGGCGGUUUUGACCCAGAUUGGGCCGGACGGCGAACGCCCGGUCGCAUACGCAUCUCGUACUUUAAACAGCGCGGAGGAGAAUUAUUCGCAGAUACACCGCGAAGCCUUAGGUAUUAUUUUUUGUGUAAAGAAAUUCCACCAGUACCUUUACGGACGUCAUUUCACAUUGCGCACAGAUCAUAAACCACUAGUAUCAAUAUUUGGACCACAUACGGGUAUACCGACCAUGACAGCUAGCAGGAUGCAGCGGUGGGCAAUAAUAUUAUCAGCUUAUGACUACGAAAUUGAAUAUGUGAAUACGAAGGAUAACUGUGCAGACGGGUUGUCUAGAUUACCGAAUGCCAAUGAGACGCGGAACAAUUUAGGUGAUGCGAUUCCCGAGCAAACAUAUCUCCAUUUCGCGCAAGACGCGUUGCUGUUAGAUUAUAAUAAGAUAAAGUAUUACACUAUGCGCGAUCCAGUUUUGGCUAGAGUGUUAACUUUUAUUCGCGAGGGUUGGUCGGAUAGUUGUGAUUUUGAUACGUUGAAACCAUAUUUUAACCGAAAGUCAGAAUUAUAUGACGAGCUCGGAUGUGUUAUGUGGGGGCACCGGGUAGUAAUACCGGAGAAGUGCCGCGAUAAGGUUUUAAGAAUUCUACAUGAACCACACAUGGGUAUAGUUAAGACCAAGGCGUUGGCCCGUAGCUAUGUGUGGUGGCCGGGCCUCGACGAGGCGGUGGAGGCGGCGUGUCGCGAGUGCGCGCCGUGCGCCGCGGUAGCGAGCGCCCCGCCGCGGCACACGCCGCGCUGCUGGCCGUGGCCAACGCGAGCAUGGACUCGGGUACAUGUGGAUUUCUUGGGCCCUUUCCACGGAAAAACUUAUUUAAUAGUAGUGGACGCCAUGUCGAAAUGGGUCGAAGUAUUCCAGGUUCCCAGCACGGCCGCCGUUACAACCAUUGAAAAAUUAACCGAAUUAUGGGCUAGAUGGGGAAUACCUAAACAAUUGAUAAGCGAUAACGGCCCGCCGUUUACGAGCACAGAGUUUUCGAAUUUUUUAGCCUUAGACGGCGUAGAACAUAUUUUUACGGCUCCUUAUCACCCGGCCUCUAAUGGGGCGUCAGAAAAUUCGGUUAAAGUAAUUAAGCAAGUUAUAAAAAAAAGCAGUUAUAGAAAAAAACGACAUUCUAAACGCCAUCAACACAUAUUUAAUUUAUUAUCGCAAUACGGCGCACAGUUCCACAGGCGAGAGCCCCGCGAUGCUCAUGACCGGUAGGCAAUUGCGAACGCGUUUAGAUUUGUUAAAACCGGAUGUAAGUUUGAAGGUAGCUAAAAAUCAACAGCGGCAAACUCGCUUGGCAGGAGGGUCGGAACGGAAGGUGGAAAUAGGUGAGGACGUUUGGUAUCGUAAAUAUCUCAAAGGAGAUAAAUGGCAACCGGGUAAGGUGUCAGAGGUUUUAGGUGAUACGGAUUAUAACAUAACCGAUUGUCAGGGUAACAUUAUUCACCGCCAUAUCGACCAAUUAAAACGGAGAGCGAGGGGUUCUAUAGUCUGUCCAAAAAGUAGCGAGGAAAGUAGUGAGACAAUGGCCACGAACCCAUUCCCAAAUUUGCCACCGGAACCCAGGGCUGAGCCUAC